GGGUGCGUAGCUCAGGGGUAGAGCAUCUGCCUUUUAAGCAGAGGGUCGGUGGUUCGAGCCCACCCGCACUCACGA
rnacentral:tRNA from 1 species